rnacentral:rRNA from 1 species
GACAGAGGUUGCAACCGUUGUUCGGAAUUACUGGGCGUAAAGCGCACGCAGGCGGCUCGUCAAGUUCGACGUGAAAGCUCCCGGCUUAACUGGGAGAGGUCGUUGAAAACUGGCGAGCUUGAGGCAAUGAGAGGGGUGUAGAAUUCCCGGUGUAGUGGUGGAAUGCGUAGAUAUCGGGAGGAAUACCAGUGGCGAAAGCGGCACCCUAGCGUUGUUCUGACGCUCAUGUGCGAAAGCGUGGGGAGCGAACGGG